UCUCACUUUCAUGCACAGCAUAAGGGCAUAGUGAGGGAGUGUCUGAAGGGUGGUGUGCUAUGGCUACUCUGGGUUGCAGAGCAGACUGUGGACACCCAAGAGUAGUUGUAGAAUUAGAGCAUAACCAGGGAUUGCUCUAAUUUAUGCUAGGAUCUAUGCCACACCCCAAGCCCCCGGAAGAGCCUAGAAUCCCACAGGUGCCAAGCACAUGUAUGGCAGGUGAAAGAUCGUGGGUAGACAUGGCCCUAAGUAAUGAAGUCCACACAAUAGGGGCAUCACUGGCAGCAGCAUCAGAACAGGCUUUACCCAGACUCCCUUCUCGACCAGGGCCAAGUCUGAGCCAUGACCUGGGUUUUAUAGGAAAGAAAAGAUUACCUUUAAUGGAUGAUGAGCUUGAUUCAAAGGAGAACUUUCUUGCAAGCUUUGUGAGAUUUCAGUACCCUGACAGAGAGCAACGAUCACCCUUUAUACUGCACACUCCAAAGGACUCUCCUUGGGGGACGUCUGUUCUAUUUCAGCUGUAACAAAAGGGCGGGGGAACCGGUGAUAUCUCUAUUGCAAAACGUACUGAGCACUAAUGAAGCAGAGAUGGAUGAACCAGAUUGGAGAAAAUAUGAACUUCUUGCCAUAGUUUUGAACUGAAUCCCACCUUUUGUGUGUGUGAAAAAAAAAUCCACGAACCUCUUUCUCUCCA